UAACUAAGUUAGUUAGUUUUUUUUUUCGAGAACUGAGGAUUUUGGCAAAGAGAAAACAACUAACAUUCAAAUGAAGAAAGGUUACAGAACCCAGAAACUGGGUUGGAACAACAAACAAACAAGAACAAGAAAGAACAAAGCACCAUAAAGCAAACCCAAACUACAACACAAGAGCCGCCCAAGGAGUAUCUCAGCAAGGAGGACAGCGCCGUGACAUCGACUGCGUCUCUGCCAUGGAGAGAACACCAAGCUACACGACUAAGAAGAUCGAGAUAUCUCAGAACGCACCAACAAAGAAAGACAACAGGGCCUAAACCAGGGCAGCAGGAAAGGGAUAAGAGUCGCUGAAGAGAGCGACACCCAGGGACAGCAACCGGUUUGAGAGGAAGAAGUAGAGAUCUGGAAAUUUGGGCGUGUGAGUCCUGAGGAACAGAUCGAGGAGAAGACGAAAAAGGGGGGCAAUCAACAUAAAGGGAAAGACAAUCUCUCUCUCUCUAGAAAUUUGAGCAUAAAGCCCAAAUCUUUGUGUUCUUCAUCCGCUGCUGUCUUUUCAGAUACCCAGUUGGCCUUUUGUUCAAUUCGAGAUGGGUUUAUGAUUUUGUGAAAUGGGUUUAUGUUGAAAGUGGAGAAUUGUUCUUGGUUUACAUGACUGGAUGGUUGUUGAGCUGUUUGCUGGGACUUAAGAGUGUCAAAUUUCUCCAAUGAAUAUCAGUUCCUUCUUUGUUUUGUUUCUGACUUUGGCAUGACAACUUGAACAGAACACUGAUGGCUGCCAAGAAAAUAUACAAAACUGUAUCAGAAAUGUUGGGGAAUCUUAUAAUAUUUGGGUUGUUAAUGUCAGAGGCCAUCGACAUUACUUUGUUGGUUCCAUUUCAUUUUCAUUCAUAUAUUCUUGAUUGGUAUAUAUAUUUUCUUCAAUGAAUUUAAGCUCAAUUUUAUACAGUA